rnacentral:rRNA from 1 species
GGCGAGUGAAGCGGCAAGAGCUCAAAUUUGAAAUCUGGCCCCUCUGGGUCCGAGUUGUAAUUUGCAGAGGAUGCUUCGGGAGCGGUCCCCGUCUAAGUGCCCUGGAACGGGCCGUCAUAGAGGGUGAGAAUCCCGUCUGGGAUGGGCGGCCGCGCCCGUGUGAAGCGCCUUCGACGAGUCGAGUUGUUUGGGAAUGCAGCUCUAAGUGGGUGGUAAAUUUCAUCUAAAGCUAAAUACUGGCCGGAGACCGAUAGCGCACAAGUAGAGUGAUCGAAAGAUGAAAAGCACUUUGAAAAGAGAGUUAAACAGCACGUGAAAUUGUUGAAAGGGAAGCGUUGUCCACCAGACUCGCCCGGGGGGGUUCAGCCGGCACUCGUGCCGGUGUACUCUCCCCGGGCGGGCCAGCAUCGGUUUGGGCGGCUGGUGAAAGGCCCCGGGAAUGUAACACCCUCCGGGGUGCCUUAUAGCCCGGGGUGUCAUGCGGCCAGCCUGGACCGAGGCCCGCGCUUCGGCGAGGAUGCUGGCGUAAUGGUGGUCAACGGCCCGUCUUGAAACACGGACCAAGGAGUCUAACAUCUAUGCGAGUGUUCGGGUGUCAAACCCGUCCGCGCAGUGAAAGCGAACGGAGGUGGGAGCCCCCCGGGGUGCACCAUCGACCGAUCCUGAAGUCUUCGGAUGGAUUUGAGUAAGAGCAUAGCUG